GAUGAACGCUGGCGGCGUGCCUAAUACAUGCAAGUCGAGCGAACGGACGAGAAGCUUGCUUCUCUGAUGUUAGCGGCGGACGGGUGAGUAACACGUGGAUAACCUACCUAUAAGACUGGGAUAACUUCGGGAAACCGGAGCUAAUACCGGAUAAUAUUUUGAACCGCAUGGGUCAAAAGUGAAAGACGGUCUUGCUGUCACUUAUAGAUGGAUCCGCGCUGCAUUAGCUAGUUGGUAAGGUAACGGCUUACCAAGGCAACGAUGCAUAGCCGACCUGAGAGGGUGAUCGGCCACCCUGGAACUGAGACACGGUCCAGACGCCUACGGGAGGCAGCAGUAGGGUAUCUUCCGCAAUGGGCGAAAGCCUGACGGAGCAACGCCGCGUGAGUGAUGAAGGUCUUCGGAUCGUAAAACUCUGUUAUUAGGGAAGAACAUAUGUGUAAGUAACUGUGCACAUCUUGACGGUACCUAAUCAGAAAGCCACGGCUAACUACGUG
rnacentral:rRNA from 1 species